UUAUGCGAUAGUAAUGCGUCCGGCGUCCGUCCGUCCGUCUAGCUGUUCUUACGAGAGGUACAUUGUGGGGUAAAAUUAACGUAUUUUCCAGCAGUGUGGGGUUUUUUGGGUACUGUGGGGUUAACCCCAUAAUGAAGAGGUCUAAUUACGUUCAAAAUUACUCUAUGAGGUCGAAAAACCUAAAAUUAGAUUUAACCUCACAAAGACUUUGUCCAAAUUUUGGACAUGUCCUUAGCCCAAAACGCUCAGACAUUCAGAAAUCUGCUGUUUAGAGGAGUUCGGUAAUUGAAUCGAGGAGUUCCGAAUACCUGAGCAUGCGCAUAUAUUUAAAACUAACUGCGCAUGCGCAGAUUACGGAAGUAGCUGUGUUUGGACACUUUGUAUUAGCAGUGAGGAAAUUCGGAAACACAAAAAGCAAAUGCAAGUUCAGAAACCACUGAAAGUGAACAUCAGUGGAACUUUGAUGAUCUAGGCCACUCUAUUGUUGCAGCAACACCAGCAGGCGUCGGACAUUUAUAAAGUUGAAAGAACAAACCUAUGACUUGAACACACAAUUUGUGAUCUGAAUAUAGUUCACAAAUUUAAGGAAAGCAACUAUUAAAGACAUCCAGAUCGGUGGUAUACAUGAAGUAUGAGUUAAAGGCUUUUCAGAAGAACAAGCACAAUCCCGAUUCAUUUUUGCCAUUGCCUUCUCCAAACGGCGACAUUCAGGACCUGACUUACUUUUCAGAAAAAGAAGAUGAAUCGAUUUUUGAAAGUUAAUCUAAAAAGAUAACAUUUACAUGGGUCGUGGAUUUGAAUUACAUUUUCUUGAUGGGCAACUAGUUUCAAGUAUUUGGAUGUCUAUUCUCAAGUUACUGCAAACCUUAAAUUAACUUCUUGAUUAUUAGUUAAAUGUGAGACCGUGUUAACUUGAAGUAAUCAUUUUUUGAAUUGAGCUAUAUGUAAUCUCUGAUUACAUAUGUUUAUGAGUAGUGUUCAGCUUUAAGACAAAAGGAUCUUUUAUGAACAUUGCAUUCGGCAUGGCGAAUUUCUAUACAUUAACAGUCAUAGUUUUCGUCUUUUUUAAUUAGCGAUCUCAUUUUAAAUGUGAGAAAUAAUUAUUAAACUGAAAUGUACAUUUAUGUUGUUUGAUUUUAAUUUUUUGAAAAUUAUAAAUCAAUUGCAUGUUGGUUUUUUUUUUCAUUUUAUUUUAGGGGAUGGGAGUGGGGGUGCAGCUCUAAGUUUGAGUAUAUUUUCCAAAAGGAUGUACAUCGUUAUUUUUGUUUUAAGAUCAAUUUUAAAAUGCAAAAUGAUGAGAUAUUAGACUACACUUUUUUUCUUAAAACUUCAUUUUAAUUAAUAUAUUUUGUUUAAAAUAAGUAGCAAUAACAUGCACGUUUUAAAGUUAUUUGACAACUCACUAUAUACUUGUUUUUUUUUUUUUUACAUCUAUGAAGAUUGUCUCAAAUUUUGAGGUUUUUUUUCUGUGUUCUACAUUUAUUGACAUGUUUCUUAUCUGUGUUCAACUUGUCGAGUAACUGAAAAGUUUGAUUAAAUUUUUUUUUAAAAAUCAGGAUCAUCUCUUUUAUUUAUUAUUAUUAAUUUACAAUGAAAUUAUGUAUGCUUUUGAUGCAUAAUGUACACUUCAAAUUCAUGCACCAGCAGAUUCAAAGGAAAAAUUAUCAUUAGAAAUAAGCAGUAAAGAUAAAGAGAUUAUCCAAUUUAAAAUAGUUUGAAAAAUAUUUAAAACAAAUUUUCGAGUAUGUUAUCAAAAUAGGAAAAAGUAUUAUGAGUAUUGUUUGGUAUUUUUAAUAGUAAAAAAAGGAUAUGACGUACUGGCAAUCGCAUCAUCUCACUCAGGGUCUUUCCGUCAGAGUUCGGAAAAACAACCUCGAAUGUAUUAACAUCACCUGAUGUUAAAGGUUUAGCUUUUCUUGUUUUUUUUUUCAAAUAUAGGAUAGAGGAAGUAAGAAGUCCCUUUUAUAAUAUAUUUUAUGUAAUAUCAUAGCAUUGAAUAAAGUUAAACUCCAUAUUCCACAGAUAAAAGGUCUUCAUGCAUUUAUUUCGAAGAUCAUGAAAGGGGGGGGGGUUGUUGCCAUGGCGUCUAACUAAUACAUUCGAGGUCGUUUGUCAGCUAGUCAGAAAGGCUCGAGAAGUUGCGAUUGAACAUAGUGGGGGUACUUGUUCUUUUAUUACCAGUCCCUGGUAUAGUUUUUUGAUAUAAGAACAUACUUGGGGUUUUCAAACACUUAAAUUCAUAUGGUUACUGGUAUCUGUUACAUGAGAACACAGCGGGGUUGUUUGUUUAACACUCUGAGGUUACUAAGAUGUCUGAUAUUUUCUAUCAGAACAUAUUGUGGUUCUUGUCUAACACUUUGUGGGGUUAAUGUUAUCUUUUAUCUAUAUAAGAACAAAAUGGGGUUGUUACACGUUAUGGGGUUAGUGUUGUCUAUUAUCUUUAUGAGAGUACAUAGUGGGGUUGUUGUCCUAACACUUUAUGGGGUUAGUGUUGCCUACUAUCUUUAUGAGAGUACAUAGUGGGGUUGCUAUCCAAACACUUUAUGGGGUUAAUGUUGUCUGUUAUCUUUAUGAGAGUACAUUGUGGGGUUGCUGUCCAAACACUUUAUGGGGUUAGUGUUGUCUAUUAUCUUUAUAAGAGUACUUAGUGGGGUUGUUGUCCUAACACUUUAUGGGGUUAGUGUUGUCUAUUAUCUUUAUGAGAGUACAUAGUGGGGUUGCUGUCCAAACGCUUAAUGGGGUUAGUGUUGUCUAUUAUCUUUAUGAGAGUACAUAGUGGGGUUGCUGUCCAAACACUUUAUGGGGUUAGUGUUGUCUGUUAUCUUUAUGAGAGUACAUAGUGGGGUUGCUGUCCAAACACUUUAUGGGGUUAGUGUUGUCUAUUAUCUUUAUGAGAGUACAUAGUGGGGUUGCUGUCCAAACACU